CCCAUGGGUCAUGAGCUGGGAAACCACUUUACUCCUUGCUCAGUCUGGUCCCCACUCCAUGCUGAGCCAUGCCCUGCAGCGCAACCGAAGUUCAAUCAGGAAGUGAAUGACUGUGUAGAUGGCACAGCAGGCUUAAUCCCUGGAACUUUAAUUUCCUUCACUUUUACAGGCUAGCAAAAGGAAGAGUUCAGAAGAAAAGAUGAAUAAGAAGGGGCAGAACGGAAGUACAGAAAGCAAUGAAUGCAGGAGAAAAGAGUUCAGCAAUGCUCCUGUAUAAAGUAUCAUCAAAUCAAUAGGAGUUGCUCCCAUUUAAAUAGAUGGACAGUUUCAGGCACCCUACAAAAUCAGACCUUGCUCUGUGUAGACAUCUCUGGACCAUAGCUACCAAAUGGAGAUGAUAACUUUUGGAGAACAAGGAUAUUUCUAUUUAAUUCCAUUAAGACUAGUCCUUGUACCUUCCCUGGAAGAGAUUGCACUAUGAAGCUUAUGGAGCAGAACAUGGAGAAAUCAUCCAGAACUAUUUAAACUUUGCAAGAAGAGAGUUGCCCAGAAGAGAAGAGAUGUGGCUGUUCCUUCCCUGCAGGAAGGCCCAAAUGAGAGCCACUUGAGGUGCAGCCCAGGUGCCUAGUCUGCGUAGGGAGCAGCUGCCAGUGGGUCCAGAAGCUGGCACACAGACAGUGGAAC
rnacentral:lncRNA from 1 species